UCCGAAUGAGCGCAGGGGUUAGCAUAACUCGCUUUGACCGAGUAGCCCCGGUUCGACUCCCGGAUUCGGAA